rnacentral:rRNA from 1 species
GACAGAGGCCUCAAGCGUUAGGCGGAAUCACUGGGCUUAAAGCGUGUGUAGGCGGAUCGUUAAGUGUCUUGUGAAAUCCCACGGCUCACCCGUGGAACGGCUGGGCAUACUGGCGAUCUUGGGCCAACUAGGGGCAACUGGAACAAGCGGUGGAGCGGUGAAAUGCGUAGAUAUCGGAAAGAACACCAACGGCGAAAGCACUCUGCUGGGCCGACACUGACACUGAGAGACGAAAGCUAGGGGAGCGAAUGGG